rnacentral:rRNA from 1 species
GUGGGGAAUCUUCCACAAUGGACGAAAGUCUGAUGGAGCAACGCCGCGUGAGUGAAGAAGGGUUUCGGCUCGUAAAGCUCUGUUGUCGGGGACGAAUGUGCAGUAUUUGAAUAAAGUAUUGCAAUGACGGUACCUGACGAGGAAGCCACGGCUAACUACGUGCCAGCAGCCGCGGUAAUACGUAGGUGGCAAGCGUUGUCCGGAAUUAUUGGGCGUAAAGGGAGCGCAGGCGGGAAGGUAAGUCGGUCUUAAAAGUGCGGGGCUCAACCCCGUGAUGGGAUCGAAACUAGCUUUCUUGAGUGCAGGAGAGGAAAGUGGAAUUCCUAGUGUAGCGGUGAAAUGCGUAGAUAUUAGGAGGAACACCAGUGGCGAAGGCGACUUUCUGGCACAAUACUGACGCUCAUGUGCGAAAGCUAGGGCAGCGAACGGGAUUAGAAACCCCGGUAGUCC